rnacentral:rRNA from 1 species
UAGGAAAGUAGCGAAGCACAUGAUGACGGCUUCCAGGAAAAGCUUCUGGCAAUGCAUAUGCGGCCCGUACCAAAACCGACACAGGUGGGCAGGGAGAGAAUCCCGAGGUGAGCGAGAGAACUGUUGCCAAGGAACUCGGCAAAAUGACUCCGUAAGUUAGCGAGAAGGGGUGCUUAAGCAAUUAAGCCGCAGUGAAGAGGCCCAAGCGACUGUUUAACUAAAACACAGCUCUCUGCGAAGUCGCAAGACGAAGUAUAGGGGGUGACACCUGCCCGGUGCUGGAAGGUUAAGAGGAUCUGUUAAGAGCGAUCUGAAGCAGUGAUCCGAAGCCCCAGUGAACGGCGGCCGUAACAAUAACGGUCCUAAGGUAGCGAAAUUCCUUGUCAGGUCUGACCCGCACGAAAGGUGUAACGAUUUGGGCGCUGUCUCGGCAGCAGACUCGGUGAAAUCUUAGUACCUGUGAAAAUGCAGGUUACCCGCAACUAGACGGAAAGACCCCAUGGAGCUUUACUGCAGCCUGAUAUUGAAUUCUGGUCAUACAUGUACAGGAUAGGUGGGAGACAAAGAGACGUGCACGCCAGUGUACGAGGAGUCGACGUUGGGAUACCACUCUUGUGUGACUGGGGUUCUAACCUGGUAUCGAGAACAGGUACGGGGAGAGUGUCAGGUGGGCAGUUUGACUGGGGCGGUCGCCUCCCAAAGAGUAACGGAGGCGCCCAAAGGUACGCUCAGAUUGGAUGGAAACCAAUCGUCGAGUGCAAUUGCAGAAGCGUGCUUGACUGUGAGACAGACAAGUCGAACAGGGACGAAAGUCGGGAAUAGUGAUCCGGCGGUGCCGAAUGGAAGGGCCGUCGCUCAACGGAUAAAAGCUACCCUGGGGAUAACAGGCUGAUCUCGCCCAAGAGUUCACAUCGACGGCGAGGUUUGGCACCUGGAUGUCGGCUCAUCGCAUCCUGGAGCUGGAUUCGGUUCCAAGGGUUGGGCUGUCCGCCCAUUAAAGCGGUACGCGAGCUGGGUUCAGAACGUCGUGAGACAGCUCGGUCCCUAUCUGUUGUGGGCGAAGGAGAUCUGCGGAGAGCUGUCCUCAGUACGAGAGGACCGGGAUGGACCUACCGCUGGUGCACCGGUUGUUCCGCCAGGGGCAUAGCCGGGUAGCUAAGUAGGGAAGGGAUAAGCGCUGAAAGCAUCUAAGCACGAAGCCUACUCCAAGAUGAGAUCUCCCAUUCGCAAGAAGUAAGACCCCUUAAAGACGAUAAGGUAGAUAGGCCAGGGAUGGAAGUGCAGUGAUGUAUGGAGUUGACUGGUACUAAUCGGUCGAGGACUUAAC